UAGUUGAAGAAGAGUAUGCGGUGUAGUUUCAGUACGCAGGCGCCAUUGAUGGCGAAUCGUGCAUGCCGUUAGUAUGGACCAGCAGUAUCUUCCUCAGAUUUUUAACUCCAGCUA
rfam:Glossina palpalis gambiensis isolate 146720 unplaced genomic scaffold Scaffold36, whole genome shotgun sequence.